rnacentral:tRNA from 1 species
GUCCCGGUAGCUCAGCUGGAUAGAGCACAGGUUUCCUAAACCUGGGGUCAGAGGUUCAAGUCCUCUCCGGGACGCCA